UACGUAGGGGGCAAGCGUUGUCCGGAUUCAUUGGGCGUAAAGAGCUCGUAGGCGGUUCGGCAAGUCGGGUGUGAAAACUCCAGGCUCAACCUGGAGACGCCACCCGAUACUGCUGUGACUUGAGUCCGGUAGGGGACCACGGAAUUCCUGGUGUAGCGGUGAAAUGCGCAGAUAUCAGGAGGAACACCUGAGGCGAAGGCGGGUUGCUGGGCUGAUACUGACGCUGAGGCGCGAAAGCCAGGGGAGCAAACGGG
rnacentral:rRNA from 1 species